UACGUAGGGGGCGAGCGUUGUCCGGAAUCAUUGGGCGUAAAGCGCGUGUAGGCGGCCCUGCAAGUCGGAUGUGAAAUCCCACGGCUCAACCGUGGAAGUGCAUUCGAAACUGCAGGGCUAGAGUCCUGGAGAGGAAGGUGGAAUGCUUGGUGUAGAGGUGAAAUUCGUAGAUAUCAAGCGGAACACCGGUGGCGAAGGCGGCCUUCUGGACAGUGACUGACGCUGAGACGCGAAAGCGUGGGGAGCAAACAGG
rnacentral:rRNA from 1 species